UCUCUUCCUUUCUUUCUUUGACUUUCUUUCUUUCUUUCCUUCUUUCCUUUCUUCCAAUCUUUCUUUCUUUCUUUCUUUCUUUCUUUCUUUCUUUCUUUCUUUUCCCUUAUCUCUUUCCUCUUUCUUACUUUUUCUCUUCUCCUUUCCUUUCUACGCAUCUCCUUCAGUUUGUUUCUUUCAAACCCCAUUCUUUCCUUCAUAUCAUCUCCACUUAUCGCUUUCUCAUCCUCGCCCCACCCUCCUAUCUAAUCAGAUGACCAACUAAAACAAUGCGCUAUUGUUCUCGCCUAUAUUAUUAUGUAAAAUGGCCGCCAGCGCUCGAAAACCCACAAAGCAAAAUGGCCGAUUGAAACAGAUGGUAAUGGCGGCUUUUCGUAUAACAUGGACAUCGGGAAAGAAACGUAAAAGGAAAAAAAAAAGCCAAGAAGAUGGUGUCUCGUAGUAAAGAAGACAGCAAGAUACCAUUCACGGACAUUCUAUGAGCACAUUAUUCUGAAUCUCGAAUUCAUUGGUCGUCAUGUAGCAACGUAACUGCACCAGAAACAAGAGAAAUGAAUUGUCUCAAGAAAAAUCAAGCAUCAAAAAAGAAAAAAGAAACAAGAAAAGAAGAUCGAAAGAAAGAGGCAAAAAAAAUAGAAAGAAAAAAGGGGAAAAGAAAGAAAGAACAGAGAUACACAAACACGAAAUCUCAUUCAACUUAUUGCUUCUGUGAUAAGAAUUCAUAAUUUCAAGAAUAUUCACUCUGGAUUAUUAUGAAGACGAAAAUACUUACCAAUGCUGGCCAUCACAAAGAUAUCAUUUUUGCUAUAAAUAUUCAGCAAAAUGAUUUUAUGUCAGUGCAAUGGAGGCUAGACUUUAAAAUUCUGAAAAUGGUUGCAGCUUUGUGAUCGGUUGUUUGUUUGUCUGUUUCCGGGACUUGCAACAAAAUACGCAAAAUUCUAUCCCCACAAAUACAAAAUACACACACACCCACUCCCA